ACCGCCAUCCACAUUGAAAACUCCGGUUCUCGCUCGAUCAUCGAAGUUAAGCAAUGUUGGCUGGUCAAUAUUGGAGAAGGGGACCACACAAUGCUGAAGGCU